rnacentral:rRNA from 1 species
GAUCAUGGCUCAGGACGAACGCUGGCGGCGUGCCUAACACAUGCAAGUCGAACGGAGAUGUUUAUUUCGGUAGAUAUCUUAGUGGCGCACGGGUGAGUAACGCGUGAAUAACCUGACCCGAAGAGGGGGAUAACACCUGGAAACAAGUGCUAAUACCGCAUAAGACCACAGACCGGCAUCGGUCAGAGGUCAAAGGAGAAAUCCGCUUUGGGAGGGGUUCGCGUCCCAUUAGGUAGUUGGUGAGGUAACGGCCCACCAAGCCGACGAUGGGUAGCCGAGCUGAGAGGCUGAUCGGCCACACUGGAACUGAGACACGGUCCAGACUCCUACGGGAGGCAGCAGUGGGGAAUAUUGGGCAAUGGGCGCAAGCCUGACCCAGCAACGCCGCGUGAGGGAAGAAGGUUUUCGGAUUGUAAACCUCUGUCGCAGGGGACGAAGGAAGUGACGGUACCCUGUAAGAAAGCCCCGGCUAACUACGUG